CCUACGGGAGACAGCAGUGAGGAAUAUUGGUCAAUGGACGAGAGUCUGAACCAGCCAAGUAGCGUGAAGGAUGACUGCCCUAUGGGUUGUAAACUUCUUUUAUAUGGGAAUAAAAUGUUCCACGUGUGGGUUUUUGUAUGUACCAUAUGAAUAAGGAUCGGCUAACUCCGUGCCAGCAGCCGCGGUAAUACGGAGGAUCCGAGCGUUAUCCGGAUUUAUUGGGUUUAAAGGGAGCGUAGGUGGAUUGUUAAGUCAGUUGUGAAAGUUUGCGGUUCAACCGUAAAAUUGCAGUUGAAACUGGCAGUCUUGAGUACAGUAGAGGUGGGCGGAAUUCGUGGUGUAGCGGUGAAAUGCUUAGAUAUCACGAAGAACUCCGAUUGCGAAGGCAGCUCACUGGACUGCAACUGACACUGAGGCUCGAAAGUGUGGGUAUCAAACAGGAUUAGAUACCCUAGUAGUC
rnacentral:rRNA from 1 species